rnacentral:rRNA from 1 species
GAUGAACGCUGGCGGCGUGCCUAAUACAUGCCAGUCGAGCGAACGGACGAGAAGCUUGCUUCUCUGAUGUUAGCGGCGGACGGGUGAGUAACACGUGGAUAACCUACCUAUAAGACUGGGAUAACUUCGGGAAACCGGAGCUAAUACCGGAUAAUAUUUUGAACCGCAUGGUUCAAAAGUGAAAGACGGUCUUGCUGUCACUUAUAGAUGGAUCCGCGCUGCAUUAGCUAGUUGGUAAGGUAACGGCUUACCAAGGCAACGAUGCGUAGCCGACCUGAGAGGGGGAGCGGGGAAACGGGAAGCGAGAGACGGGGCAGAAGACGACGGGAGGCAGCAGUGGGGAAGAUUAGGGAAGGGGCGGAAGUCUGAAGGAGAAAGGUAGGGGGAGAGAGAAAGGUCUUAGGAACCUAAAAACUGGUUAAUAGGGAAGAACGAAAGUGGAAGGAAAUAUGCACGGCUGGAAGGGGGAGAAUAAGAAGGAAAAGGAUAAAGAAGUG